AGUGAACGCUGGCGGUAGGCCUAACACAUGCAAGUCGAACGGCAGCACAGUAAGAGCUUGCUCUUACGGGUGGCGAGUGGCGGACGGGUGAGGAAUACAUCGGAAUCUACUUUUUCGUGGGGGAUAACGUAGGGAAACUUACGCUAAUACAGCAUACGACCUACGGGUGAAAGCAGGGGAUCUUCGGACCUUGCGCGAUUGAAUGAGCCGAUGUCGGAUUAGCUAGUUGGCGGGGUAAAGGCCCACCAAGGCGACGAUCCGUAGCUGGUCUGAGAGGAUGAUCAGCCACACUGGAACUGAGACACGGUCCAGACUCCUACGGGAGGCAGCAGUGGGGAAUAUUGGACAAUGGGCGCAAGCCUGAUCCAGCCAUACCGCGUGGGUGAAGAAGGCCUUCGGGUUGUAAAGCCCUUUUGUUGGGAAAGAAAAGCAGCAGGUUAAUACCCCGCUGUUCUGACGGUACCGAAAGAAUAAGCACCGGCUAACUUCGUG
rnacentral:rRNA from 1 species